rnacentral:rRNA from 1 species
AGAGUUUGAUCCUGGCUCAGAAUCAACGCUGGCGGCGCGCCUAACACAUGCAAGUCGAACGAGAAAGUGGAGCAAUCCAUGAGUACAGUGGCGUACGGGUGAGUAACACGUGGAUAACCUGCCCCUUUGUGGGGAAUACCGUUGGGAAACCGACGACAAUACCGCAUAAGCUCGAGAGAGGAAAGCAGCAAUGCGCAGAGGGAGGGGUCCGCGGUCGAUUAGCUAGUUGGUGAGGUAAUGGCUCACCAAGGCUGUGAUCGAUAGCCGGCCUGAGAGGGCACACGGCCACACUGGCACUGAAACACGGGCCAGACUCCUACGGGAGGCAGCAGUGGGGAAUCUUGCACAAUGGGGGAAACCCUGAUGCAGCGACGCCGCGUGAGCGAUGAAGCCCUUCGGGGUGUAAAGCUCUUUCGGCAGGGAAGAUUAUGACGGUACCUGCAGAAGCAGCUGCGGCUAACUACGUGCCAGCAGCCGCGGUAAUACGUAGGCAGCAAGCGUUGUUCGGAGUUACUGGGCGUAAAGGGUGCGUAGGCGGUCCUAUAAGUAUGGUGUGAAAUCUCCCGGCUUAACUGGGAGGGUGCGCUAUAGACUGUGGGACUAGAGUGUGGGAGAGGAAAGUGGAAUUCCUGGUGUAGCGGUGAAAUGCGUAGAUAUCAGGAGGAACACCGGUGGUGUAAACGGCUUUCUGGACCAUAACUGACGCUGAGGCACGAAAGCGUGGGUAGCAAACAGGAUUAGAUACCCUAGUAGUCC